AGCUGUCAUGGCUCAAACCGAGAAGAUCACAGUAUCCCGUCUCGCUUCUCCUACGUCGGCCUUAAUUGGCACGAAAGAAAAGGUGCCCAGUUCGAAUCCGACGGAAGCCUCCAACUCGCAUGGGUAACCGGCGAUUCGCUUGUGAGGCUCUAAGCAAUGAGAUUGAUUCUUGAGGGAAGCAAUUCUGCAGAGGCACUCUCACCGUCGGGUGGCGGUAUUGGAUCACACCUGCUUUCGCUAUGGGAUGGGAGGGACGGGCUUGUGCUCGACUUUUUUGGCCUU
rnacentral:SRP_RNA from 1 species